GAUGAAGAACGUAGCGAAAUGCGAUACGUAGUGUGAAUUGCAGAAUUCAGUGAAUCAUCGAAUCUUUGAACGCACAUUGCACCUCUCGGUAUUCCGGGAGGUAUGCCUGUUCGAGCGUCAUUUGUACCCUCAAGCUCUGCUUGGUGUUGGGUGUUUGUUCCGCCUCUGUGUGUGAACUCGCCUCAAAACAAUUGGCAGCCGGCGUACUUGUUUCGGAGCGCAGCACAUUUUGCGAUCCAGAUCAACGUACAGCGGCAUCCAAGAAGCCUUAUUUAACGCUCUUGACCUCGGAGCAGGUAGGGAUACCCGCUGAACUUAAGCAUAUCAAUAAGCGGAUGA
rnacentral:misc_RNA from 1 species